rnacentral:lncRNA from 1 species
CAGAACUUAGAGCUGGGAAGGGCCUGAAAAGACCUCACAUCUCACCUCCUCCCUUUGUAGAUAAGGGCCAUGUCACCGGACAGGCUGUGACUCACCCACAGCCACAGCUGGGACAGCCCCGUGGCUCUUGCCUCCCGGGCCAGAGCUUUUCCCAGUUUUCCAAGCUGCCUCUCAGAUGCUGCCAAGUCAUUUCCACGUUCGCCUCCUUAGGGCUCGUUAGUAGGAGAAGCUGGUCGUGGCCCUUUCUGCCUUCCCACUACCUCACAAAAGAGGAAAGAGAUUCCAUUUGAGAACCAAACAGGGGUAGUUUUUCUCAUCAUCUGAUGUCUUAUACUCUCCAUGCCAGGCUCUCCUCCAGGGGUGCAGCUCCCUGCCCUCCUGUGGUGUCGUGAAAGAAUGUCAUUCACCCUCCCGUCAACCCUGAGAACAAGAGGCCAUUUCUCAGCGGGUGAAUCAAGCUACCAUGAGUGCCAAGGUGUCAGAGGGACUCAACUUGUCCCUUGCCAGUCACAUGAUCCUUGGCUGAGGCCUCCCCUUUGGAAAGCAGGACAAUGUCGCAUCUGCAUCUCACUCACGGACCCCAGGUGCCAGCUGAGGGUCAGGCGGCAAGGUCACAGCGUUGACAAUAACCACCAUCCAGUGACAGAUAGCCGUGUCUGGCUCGGUGCUAAGCCCUCACACGUGUGAACUCUCUUCAUCUUUGCACCAGCUUGGUGACGAAGGUAUAUUUUAUGCCCACCUCCAAGCCUGUUUCAUAAAUGAAGAUUCAGAGGCUUCGAGAAGGGGAGAGGUGCCCCGAUCGCACCCUAGAAGGAGGCAGGCGGGAGGACCUUCUCCGCGGAACUCAGGUUGGACUCAGACUCACAGAGAUGCCUCAGCUGCCACCUGCCCCCCGCCUUGAGCAGAACCAUCGUUCUAGAGAACUUGCUGGCUUCGUAGUAAUCCCUUCCUUUCUGGCUCCUGGGAUCUUGUUCACUGUCUGGUCCUCUUCAAGCCCUGGAACACAGUAGGUGUUCAACAAAUAUUUGCAGAAAGAAUAGUUCUCAUUCAUGUUGCUGUUUGAUCUUCCCCCACAUCCCUGUGAGGGAGCGAAUUAGGAAAUGUGAUUGCUGCCGGUGUUAGUCAUCUCGCUAGCGGGAGGGAUGGAGCGACUUCCUCCUGGUCACACGGCCCAGCCACUGAGCUGGAGCUCCGGGCUCCUGGCUCCCUUCCCAGGCCUUUCCAACCCUGUCAAGACCUGGGCCCCUGCUGUUACAGGAC